AAUGCAUGUGAUAUGAUGCUUGCCAAGUAGUUAGUUGAUGGUUUUGAAGUGCGAGUCAGGAAAAAACGGAUAUGUGUCAGCAUUUGUUAUUUAUUUUCAGCUCCACAACAAAUGAACCAAUGGCUCAUUUACUACUUGCCUUCACAUGCAAAGUGUGCAUGAGAGGGGUGAGGGCUAAAAGGGCUAAGGCCUACAAACUAGAGCCCUCAAAUACCCAUUCGUUCCGUUUUCCCUCCAUCUCCCCAUUUUCUCUUUUUUCUCCGUUUUCCCCUGCUGGGUGCCCAGAUUUGGAAGAGCUAUCAGAUCUAUUGGAUUACAAUAUUACUCCCUCUAGUUUCUCCCAUUCAUUCUCUCUCUCAAUCCACAGAUCUGAGAAGCAGAUGUUUCUGCCCUUGCGGUUUUGCUGCUUAUUCUUGGGUGCACACAUUUUGUCUGUGUUGUAUGAAAUUGGGUGUUAGUGUGUAAAAUUAGGCUAUAUUGAUGAAAUUGGUUUGGGUUUUUUUGUCAGGAAAUUUGAUAAUUUGGGGUUAGGGAUCUGUAGGAGGGAGCGGCUGUGAUUCGUUGAAUGCUGACAGAAGAGAGUGAGCACACAUAGCGUAGCGCAUGAGGCUAUGCGUUUAGCCAUGCGUGCUCACCAUCUCUUUCUGUCAGCGAGUCAUGAUCAAAGUUUGCUUGGGGUAUGUAUGAUCCUUUUUGGGUUAUGGUUUUUGUUUCUUGAAAUCAAAGAUGGACCGUGAUUACAUCCACAAGCCCUUUGGGUUUUUCUCUUUUUAAUAAGGCGCCGUCUUCGAAGAUCUAUCGAAUCCCCAGCUUGUUUCUGCCGCAAAAGGACAGACAAACGCAUACUCGAGAAGCUGUCCUGGAAGCCGAGCACGCUUCUCGAAUUCCUGCGAGCUAAGUAUUUUCUAUCAUUAAAUUAUUCUUAGGGAGCUAGCAUGUUUUUUAUCUGCGCUCAGUCGGGUUUUUCCUUCGUUGCUCUCAAGAGCAGAUCUGUAUACGAUGAUUGAUCGGUUUUCUCUAAUCUCUUGCGCGUUUCUUUAUUUAAUUAAAACGCGCAAAAGCAUCGAUUCAUGCACCGGCACGCGUCUAUCCCGACUUAAAUGUUUGAACAAGGUUUGGAAAAGUCUCUCAUUCUAAUUUUUUUUUCUCUCCGGCCGACCCACCGCCAUGUGGUAGGUGUUUGGUCUAAAUCAGUCUCGCAAUUUCUUUUUUCCUUUUCUGGGUAUUGAACAACCUAUCUCAGAUUUCGCAGGCUGGGCUGAGCUGAGCUUUGAAUCCGGAAGAUGGGUUUUGAGCGGAGGAGCUCUGGACACAAACCCAACAGACCACAAAACGCUGAUCUCUCAUCCUUGAUCGCUCUUAAACCAUACGCUGGCCCUACUACAGGAUAUCAAAUAGUUCAAGAUUUGUCCAAGGAUAAACUCCAAGAUCAUUUCAAUCGUGUUAUGCUCGAAAUAAACAUGCACACCGAUACCUUGCUUAUUGAGAAUCUUCGGCAACUUUUAUCAUUAAAUUCAUUGCGAUGCAUUCAUUGCAACGCCUCAUGCCAAAUGAUUUCUCCCUUGGAGAUUCUACACUUUUGAGUGUAUUUAAUGUCCUAUGCUCACUUUUGGUGAGUAUAUAUAUACAUACAGACAAUUAUAUUAUAUUCUCAAAGAGUACAUUGUAUUCAAUUGUAUUCCAUAUUUUCAUUAUACUUAAUACAUCACAUUAUGUUGAAAGAAACAUGCAUGUAAUAUCAGUGCAGAAACAUGCAUGUAAUACUUAAUACGUCACAAUACUUGGGAAUUGAACUUCUCAUCUUCGAUACAAACAAACCUGCCUCUUUUUAUAAAUGUGUGACUCAAAUUAUAAAUGUGAAAAUGUAGUGGCUUAAAGUCAUGGUUUUCCCUUUUUUCUUCUUCCAAGAGAAGAGUAGAGAUGCUUGUUAAUAACCCUAGUGAAUGGAUAAGCCUCCUUCCCCUAACAAGACUAACUAGUUUCCUGAUUUGGUAUAACUUGGAAUUAGUGUCUUUAUGUCGAGAGGCAUCUACAAUGACAUACAAAUAUCCAUUAAAAAAAAAUUGAUUAUGAAUAAAUUUGACGCGUAGAUCACAGGUAAAUGCAUGCAUGUUUCAGUUUCAUUGUAAGUAUUAUUUUAUUAUUCUGAAUAAAAUAGAAUCAUUGCCACUUGUCUCUAAGUAUAUGAAACUGUUACAUCUUUAAUGAGAGUGAAAGAGUGGAGCAUUAUCCAGCUCCAUGUCCUUCUUGACAAUUAAUAAACAUGCAAGACAAUUAUGUGAUAUCUGUUGGUAUUAUAUUACAUAUAUUUUUAUGCCGAGAGGCAUCUACAGUGACAUCAAAAUGUCCAUAAACAAAAAAUCAAUUUUGAAACAAUUUGACAUGCAAAUGAUAGGUAAAUGCGUGAAAUAUGUCAUCUUUUGGUUUUUGUGGAGGUGUAUAUGAAACCAUUGCAUUCAAAUGAUAGUGGAAGAGUACCAUACUUAAGCAACUCUAUUAUUAUCCAUAUUUUUGAAACCCUUGUAUACUACUAAUAUUGUUGCAAUCAUUAGAUUUCCUUCUAUGAUAAGAUAUCUCUCGACAUAAUUUAUCUAUAUUAUAAGAUAUAUCUUGUGAAAUUUGAGAAGAUAGCUCAACUUGAGAGUGUUUUUCAAAUGACUAUACAUGUGAAUGCAACCCAACAACACAACAUUUUCUAGAACAUGCAGAUAAUAAACACAAGAUUCAAAUAAUUUCUCUUAAUACCAUACUAUGUGCACGUUACACGAAUUGAAUGAUAAGUUUCUUUAUAUAUAUAUGAGAAUGUAAAGGUUGAAAACAAUUCCACACAAU